rnacentral:rRNA from 1 species
UGGCUCAGGACGAACGCUGGCGGCGUGCUUAACACAUGCAAGUCGAACGGAAAGGCCCUGCUUGCGGGGUACUCGAGUGGCGAACGGGUGAGUAACACGUGGGUGAUCUGCCCUGCACUUCGGGAUAAGCUUGGGAAACUGGGUCUAAUACCGGAUAGGACCGCAUUUUAGUGUGUGUGGUGGAAAGUUUUUUCGGUGUAGGAUGAGCUCGCGGCCUAUCAGCUUGUUGGUGGGGUAAUGGCCUACCAAGGCGGCGACGGGUAGCCGGCCUGAGAGGGUGUACGGCCACAUUGGGACUGAGAUACGGCCCAGACUCCUACGGGAGGCAGCAGUGGGGAAUAUUGCACAAUGGGCGCAAGCCUGAUGCAGCGACGCCGCGUGGGGGAUGAAGGCCUUCGGGUUGUAAACUCCUUUCGCUAGGGACGAAGCUUUUGUGACGGUACCUAGAUAAGAAGCACCGGCUAACUACGUGCCAGCAGC